GGCAGGUGUGCUUCCAUUUGCUCUUCCCCUCCUCUGCUCUCUCUCCUCAGCUAGUUGCUUCCAUCUCCCCCCACCCUGACGCCGACGCUGCCGACGCCCCUCCACCUCCGCCUCUGCCUCCACAGGUUGCCUCCAUCGCCCCUGACUCUGACGCCGACGCCGAACCCGACGCCCCUACGCCGUCGCCGACGCCCUUUCGCCUCCCUCUCGCGACCUCUGCUCUACUCUCUCCCUCUUUCCUUUGCGGAGCGCCAUUGCUGGCCAACCCCGACGCCGACGAACCCAUACUCGCGUUUUGGCCUCCCUCUCCGCGAACGAAGGUCGCUUUGCUCGCGCUCUCUCUCUCUCUUUCCUCUGCGAAGCGCCCCCUGCUCCUGAACGCGGACGCCACCAACGCCGUCGCCUCUCGCCGUCGCCUUCCCAAGCCCCACUGAUAGGCACCCCAUUGGCAACUCCUGUAUGUCCGAAGGUGGAUGGCAGCGACCUUGGUUGACUAUUACAUCAACGUUGUUCCGCUUGCGGAUCAGACGAGUAAACUGAAUUGGCCUACAGAAUGAGGGAUUUGUUUCUACUGAAACGGGAGCACACCGCACGGAUAAUCAUGAGAACAAGUUUGCGGUAAAACCACAGCCAAAGUUUUUGAAUGGGGCCGUGCAACAAACGCACGGAAAGCAACAGGAACGGCACGAACCAGAGGAGGGAGUGAAAGGAGUCAUGGAGGAGCAACCAUGCGAGCGAAAACACCGAUGUCAAACCAGUGAAGUGGAAGAGGAGGUGCGUUGCUCCAUCACAAGGAGGAGCACGCCCGCAAGGCGAUGGUGCCUGACUAGCGACAUGCCCCAAAGAGAAAUGCAGGAGGGGGCUAUGGCAACACAGGUGGCGACAGGAUGGGUUGCAAAGGGUGAAAUCGACUUCCCCUGGUAAUCCACUUGGAUGAAGCUGACAAGGAUAGAGACGAUGGAGGUAAGAUCCAUGGCGUAUGGCGAGGAGAGGGAUGGAAAGACUGGGACUGUCAUUUUAUAC